rnacentral:rRNA from 1 species
CACGUAGGGCGCAAGCGUUGUCCGGAAUUAUUGGGCGUAAAGAGCUCGUAGGCGGUCUGUUACGUCUGCUGUGAAAACCCAGGGCUUAACCCUGGGCUUGCAGUGGAUACGGGCAGACUAGAGGCAGGUAGGGGAGAAUGGAAUUCCCGGUGUAGCGGUGAAAUGCGCAGAUAUCGGGAGGAACACCGGUGGCGAAGGCGGUUCUCUGGGCCUGACCUGACGCUGAGACGCGAAAGCGUGGGGAGCAAACAGG